UAGUAGCGGCGAGCGAAGCGGGAAGAGCUCAAAUUUAUAAUCUGGCACCUUCGGUGUCCGAGUUGUAAUCUCUAGAAGUGUUUUCCGCGUUGGACCGCACACAAGUCUGUUGGAAUACAGCGGCAUAGUGGUGAAACCCCCGUAUAUGGUGCGGACGCCCAGCGCUUUGUGAUACACUUUCAAUGAGUCGAGUUGUUUGGGAAUGCAGCUCAAAUUGGGUGGUAAAUUCCAUCUAAAGCUAAAUAUUGGCGAGAGACCGAUAGCGAACAAGUACCGUGAGGGAAAGAUGAAAAGCACUUUGGAAAGAGAGUUAACAGUACGUGAAAUUGUUGGAAGGGAAACGCUUGAAGUCAGACUUGCUUGCCGGAGCUUGCUUCGGUUUGCAGGCCAGCAUCAGUUUUCCGGGGUGGAUAAUGACGGUUUGAAGGUAGCAGUCUCGGCUGUGUUAUAGCUUUCCGUUGGAUACGCCCUGGGGGACUGAGGAACGCAGCGUGCUUUUUGCGAAAGACUCGUCUUUUUCACGCUUAGGAUGCUGGUGGAAUGGCUUUAAACGGUCCGUCUUAA
rnacentral:rRNA from 1 species